GUGGGGAAUCUUCCGCAAUGGACGAAAGUCUGACGGAGCAACGCCGCGUGAGUGAAGAAGGUUUUCGGAUCGUAAAGCUCUUUCGUUAGGGACGAACGUGCUCUUUGUGAAUAAUGAGGAGUAAUGACGGUACCUAAAUAAGAAGCCACGGCUAACUACGUGCCAGCAGCCGCGGUAAUACGUAGGUGGCAAGCGUUGUCCGGAAUUAUUGGGCGUAAAGCGCGCGCAGGCGGGAUAUCACGUCUGUCUUAAAAGUGCGAGGCUCAACCUCGUGAGGGGACAGAAACUGGUAUUCUUGAGUGUCGGAGAGGAAAGUGGAAUUCCAAGUGUAGCGGUGAAAUGCGUAGAGAUUUGGAAGAACACCAGUGGCGAAGGCGACUUUCUGGACGAUGUCUGACGCUGAGGCGCGAAAGCUAGGGGAGCGAACGGGAUUAGAAACCCCGGUAGUCC
rnacentral:rRNA from 1 species